GACGAACGCUGGCGGCGUGCUUAACACAUGCAAGUCGAACGGAAAGGCCCUGCUUUUGUGGGGUGCUCGAGUGGCGAACGGGUGAGUAACACGUGAGUAACCUGCCCUUGACUUUGGGAUAACUUCAGGAAACUGGGGCUAAUACCGGAUAGGAUCUCCUGCUGCAUGGUGGGGGUUGGAAAGUUUCGGCGGUUGGGGAUGGACUCGCGGCUUAUCAGCUUGUUGGUGGGGUAGUGGCUUACCAAGGCUUUGACGGGUAGCCGGCCUGAGAGGGUGACCGGCCACAUGGGGACUGAGAUACGGCCCAGACUGCUACGGGAGGCAGCAGUGGGAAAUAUUGCACAAUGGGCGGAAGCCUGAUGAAGCAACGCCGCGUGCGGGAUGACGGCCUUCGGGUUGUAAACCGCUUUCGCCUGUGACGAAGCGUGAGUGACGGUAAUGGGUAAAGAAGCACCGGCUAACUACGUG
rnacentral:rRNA from 1 species